UUAAGUUAUUAAGGGCGCACGGUGGAUGCCUUGGCACUAGAAGCCGAUGAAGGACGUUACUAACGACGAUAUGCUUUGGGGAGCUGUAAGUAAGCUUUGAUCCAGAGAUUUCCGAAUGGGGAAACCCAGCAUGAGUUAUGUCAUGUUAUCGAUAUGUGAAUACAUAGCAUAUCAGAAGGCACACCCGGAGAACUGAAACAUCUUAGUACCCGGAGGAAGAGAAAGAAAAUUCGAUUCCCUUAGUAGCGGCGAGCGAAACGGGAAGAGCCCAAACCAACAAGCUUGCUUGUUGGGGUUGUAGGACACUCUAUACGGAGUUACAAAGGACGACAUUAGACGAAUCAUCUGGAAAGAUGAAUCAAAGAAGGUAAUAAUCCUGUAGUCGAAAAUGUUGUCUCUCUUGAGUGGAUCCUGAGUACGACGGAGCACGUGAAAUUCCGUCGGAAUCUGGGAGGACCAUCUCCUAAGGCUAAAUACUCUCUAGUGACCGAUAGUGAACCAGUACCGUGAGGGAAAGGUGAAAAGCACCCCGGAAGGGGAGUGAAAUAGAACCUGAAACCGUGUGCUUACAAGUAGUCAGAGCCCGUUAAUGGGUGAUGGCGUGCCUUUUGUAGAAUGAACCGGCGAGUUACGAUUUGAUGCAAGGUUAAGCAGUAAAUGUGGAGCCGUAGCGAAAGCGAGUCUGAAUAGGGCGUUUAGUAUUUGGUCGUAGACCCGAAACCAGGUGAUCUACCCUUGGUCAGGUUGAAGUUCAGGUAACACUGAAUGGAGGACCGAACCGACUUACGUUGAAAAGUGAGCGGAUGAACUGAGGGUAGCGGAGAAAUUCCAAUCGAACCUGGAGAUAGCUGGUUCUCUCCGAAAUAGCUUUAGGGCUAGCCUCAAGUGAUGAUUAUUGGAGGUAGAGCACUGUUUGGACGAGGGGCCCCUCUCGGGUUACCGAAUUCAGACAAACUCCGAAUGCCAAUUAAUUUAACUUGGGAGUCAGAACAUGGGUGAUAAGGUCCGUGUUCGAAAGGGAAACAGCCCAGACCACCAGCUAAGGUCCCAAAAUAUAUGUUAAGUGGAAAAGGAUGUGGCGUUGCCCAGACAACUAGGAUGUUGGCUUAGAAGCAGCCAUCAUUUAAAGAGUGCGUAAUAGCUCACUAGUCGAGUGACACUGCGCCGAAAAUGUACCGGGGCUAAACAUAUUACCGAAGCUGUGGAUUGUCCUUUGGACAAUGGUAGGAGAGCGUUCUAAGGGCGUUGAAGCAUGAUCGUAAGGACAUGUGGAGCGCUUAGAAGUGAGAAUGCCGGUGUGAGUAGCGAAAGACGGGUGAGAAUCCCGUCCACCGAUUGACUAAGGUUUCCAGAGGAAGGCUCGUCCGCUCUGGGUUAGUCGGGUCCUAAGCUGAGGCCGACAGGCGUAGGCGAUGGAUAACAGGUUGAUAUUCCUGUACCACCUAUAAUCGUUUUAAUCGAUGGGGGGACGCAGUAGGAUAGGCGAAGCGUGCGAUUGGAUUGCACGUCUAAGCAGUAAGGCUGAGUAUUAGGCAAAUCCGGUACUCGUUAAGGCUGAGCUGUGAUGGGGAGAAGACAUUGUGUCUUCGAGUCGUUGAUUUCACACUGCCGAGAAAAGCCUCUAGAUAGAAAAUAGGUGCCCGUACCGCAAACCGACACAGGUAGUCAAGAUGAGAAUUCUAAGGUGAGCGAGCGAACUCUCGUUAAGGAACUCGGCAAAAUGACCCCGUAACUUCGGGAGAAGGGGUGCUCUUUAGGGUUAACGCCCAGAAGAGCCGCAGUGAAUAGGCCCAAGCGACUGUUUAUCAAAAACACAGGUCUCUGCUAAACCGUAAGGUGAUGUAUAGGGGCUGACGCCUGCCCGGUGCUGGAAGGUUAAGAGGAGUGGUUAGCUUCUGCGAAGCUACGAAUCGAAGCCCCAGUAAACGGCGGCCGUAACUAUAACGGUCCUAAGGUAGCGAAAUUCCUUGUCGGGUAAGUUCCGACCCGCACGAAAGGCGUAACGAUUUGGGCACUGUCUCAACGAGAGACUCGGUGAAAUCAUAGUACCUGUGAAGAUGCAGGUUACCCGCGACAGGACGGAAAGACCCCGUGGAGCUUUACUGUAGCCUGAUAUUGAAAUUCGGCACAGCUUGUACAGGAUAGGUAGGAGCCUUUGAAACGUGAGCGCUAGCUUACGUGGAGGCGCUGGUGGGAUACUACCCUAGCUGUGUUGGCUUUCUAACCCGCACCACUUAUCGUGGUGGGAGACAGUGUCAGGCGGGCAGUUUGACUGGGGCGGUCGCCUCCUAAAAGGUAACGGAGGCGCUCAAAGGUUCCCUCAGAAUGGUUGGAAAUCAUUCAUAGAGUGUAAAGGCAUAAGGGAGCUUGACUGCGAGACCUACAAGUCGAGCAGGGUCGAAAGACGGACUUAGUGAUCCGGUGGUUCCGCAUGGAAGGGCCAUCGCUCAACGGAUAAAAGCUACCCCGGGGAUAACAGGCUUAUCUCCCCCAAGAGUUCACAUCGACGGGGAGUUUUGGCACCUCGAUGUCGGCUCAUCGCAUCCUGGGGCUGUAGUCGGUCCCAAGGGUUGGGCUGUUCGCCCAUUAAAGCGGUACGCGAGCUGGGUUCAGAACGUCGUGAGACAGUUCGGUCCCUAUCCGUCGUGGGCGUAGGAAAUUUGAGAGGAGCUGUCCUUAGUACGAGAGGACCGGGAUGGACAUACCUCUGGUGUACCAGUUGUCGUGCCAACGGCAUAGCUGGGUAGCUAUGUGUGGACGGGAUAAGUGCUGAAAGCAUCUAAGCAUGAAGCCCCCCUCAAGAUGAGAUUUCCCAACUUCGGUUAUAAGAUCCCUCAAAGAUGAUGAGGUUAAUAGGUUCGAGGUGGAAGCAUGGUGACAUGUGGAGCUGACGAAUACUAAUCGAUCGAAGACUUAAUCAA
rnacentral:rRNA from 1 species